ACACGUUGGAGGUUACCAGAACCCAGCAGCCUAAAAAAUGCAUUCCAGCAACUCAACUUCCUAUUUCCUUUUCCUUACAGCUCUGAAAAUACCCACUGCAAAGCUCAGCAGCCUGAGAGAGUUCAAGCACAAGGACCACAGGAGCAAGAGUUACUGCCCAGGAGAGCCACUCACCUCCCUCUCCACACCAUUGUGCACUAUCAUCCCAAAACAGCAGCACCAGCUUGGGUGGAAAAUGAGCCCCCUGGGUGCUGAGGUGGAAUUGGCAGCAAAGCAAAUGCCCUCAAAGCUCCAGACUGACAGAAGCAGCAAUAGAGAGAUGAAGAGAUGGGACUGACCUCAGGCAUCACUCAGCCAGCUCCACUCUGAGUCACUGCAGGUGACUGAG